AUGCUACUCGGAAAUCCCACUGA
rnacentral:miRNA from 1 species